GACGAACGCUGGCGGCGUGCUUAACACAUGCAAGUCGAACGGAAAGGCCUCUUUCGGGGGGUACUCGAGUGGCGAACGGGUGAGUAACACGUGAGUAACCUGCCCUUGACUUUGGGAUAACUUCAGUAAACUGGGGCUAAUACCGUAUAGGAGCUCCUGCUGCAUGGUGGGGGUUGGUAAGUUUCGGCGGUUGGGGAUGGACUCGCGGCUGAUCAGCCUGUUGGUGGGGUAGUGGCUUACCAAGGCUUUGGCGGGUAGCCGGCCUGAGAGGGUGACCGGCCCGAUUGGGACUGGGAUGCGGCCCAGACUCCUACGGGAGGCAGUAGUGGGGAAUAUUGCAAAAUGGGUGGAAGCCUGAUGCAGCAACGCCGUGGGCGGGAUGACGGCCUUCGGGUUGUAAACCGCUUUCGCUCAUGACGAAGCUUUGUGUGACGGUAGUGGGUAAAGAAGCACCGGCUAACUACGUG
rnacentral:rRNA from 1 species